rnacentral:rRNA from 1 species
GACGAACGCUGGCGGCGUGCUUAACACAUGCAAGUCGAACGGAAAGGCCCUGCUUUUGUGGGGUGCUCGAGUGGCGAACGGGUGAGUAACACGUGAGUAACCUGCCCUUGACUUUGGGAUAACUUCAGGAAACUGGGGCUAAUACCGGAUAGGAGCUCCUGCUGCAUGGUGGGGGUUGGAAAGUUUCGGCGGUUGGGGAUUGACUCGCGGCUUAGCAGCUUGUUGGUGGGGUAGUGUCUUACCAAGGCUUUGACGGGUAGCCGGCCUGAGAGGGUGACCGGCCACAUUGGGACUGAGAUACGGCCCAGACUCCUACGGGAGGCAGAAGUGGGGAAUAUUGCACAAUGGGCGGAAGCCUGAUGCAGCAACGCCGCGUGCGGGAUGACGGCCUUCGGGUUGUAAACCGCUUUAGCCUGUGACGAAGCGUGAGUGACGGUAAUGGGUAAAGAAGCACCGGCUAACUACGUG